CCCGCUGAACUUAAGCAUAUCAAUAAGCGGAGGAAAAGAAACUAACAAGGAUUCCCCUAGUAACUGCGAGUGAAGCGGGAAAAGCUCAAAUUUGAAAUCUGGGGGUCCCUUGACCGUCCGAGUUGUAAUCUAGAGAAGUGUUACCUGUGCUGGACCGUGUACAAGUCUCCUGGAAUGGAGCAUCAUAGAGGGUGAGAAUCCCGUCUUUGACAUGGACUACCUGCACGUUGUGGUGCGCUCUCAAAGAGUCGAGUUGUUUGGGAAUGCAGCUCAAAAUGGGUGGUAAAUGCCAUCUAAAGCUAAAUAUUGGCGAGAGACCGAUAGCGAACAAGUACCGUGAGGGAAAGAUGAAAAGAACUUUGGAAAGAGAGUUAAACAGUACGUGAAAUUGCUGAAAGGGAAACGCUUGAAGUCAGUCACGUUGGCUAGAAAUCAGCCUUGCUUUUGCUUGGUGUACUUUUUGGUUGACGGGUCAGCAUCAAUUUUGACCAUUGGAUAAAGUCUUGGGGAAUGUGGCAUCCUUUUGGAUGUGUUAUAGCCCAUUGUCGCAUACGGUGGUUGGGAUUGAAGAAAGCAGCAGGCUACAAGGGGUGGACAAUUAUGACCACGCUCAGGCUUAGGAUGCUGGCAUAAUGGCUAUAAUCGACCCGUCUUGAAACACGG
rnacentral:rRNA from 1 species